rnacentral:rRNA from 1 species
GCCGGAUGCUCCAGUUGGAUGCAUGUUCUUCUGGGAAAGAUUCAUCGGUAUGGGAUGGGGUCGCGUCCUAUCAGCUUGAUGGCGGGGUAACGGCCCACCAUGGCUUCGACGGGUAGCCGGCCUGAGAGGGCGACCGGCCACAUUGGGACUGAGAUACGGCCCAGACUCCUACGGGAGGCAGCAGUGGGGAAUAUUGCACAAUGGGCGCAAGCCUGAUGCAGCGACGCCGCGUGCGGGAUGACGGCCUUCGGGUUGUAAACCGCUUUUGACUGGGAGCAAGCCCUUCGGGGUGAGUGUACCUUUCGAAUAAGCACCGGCUAACUACGUGCCAGCAGCCGCGGUAAUACGUAGGGUGCAAGCGUUAUCCGGAAUUAUUGGGCGUAAAGGGCUCGUAGGCGGUUCGUCGCGUCCGGUGUGAAAGUCCAUCGCUUAACGGUGGAUCCGCGCCGGGUACGGGCGGGCUUGAGUGCGGUAGGGGAGACUGGAAUUCCCGGUGUAACGGUGGAAUGUGUAGAUAUCGGAA